AGGGCACCACCAGGAGUGGAGCCUGCGGCUUAAUUUGACCCAACACGGGAAAACUCACCCGGCCCGGACACUGGAAGGAUUGACAGAUUGAGAGCUCUUUCUUGAUUCAGUGGGUGGUGGUGCAUGGCCGUUCUUAGUUGGUGGAGUGAUUUGUCUGGUUAAUUCCGAUAACGAACGAGACCUUAUCCUACUAAAUAUGUGGUCAAGUUUACAAACACUUGAUCUCACUUCUUAGAGGGACAGGCGGUGAUUCAACCGCACGAAACAAGGCAAUAACAGGUCUGUGAUGCCCUUAGAUGUCCGGGGCCGCACGCGCGCUACACUGAAGUGAUCAGCGUGCUUUGCUAUGCCUACUCUGACAAGAGUGGGAAACCCCAUGAACCUUCUUCGUGAUUGGGAUAGGAGAUUGUAAUUAUUCUCCUUGAACGAGGAAUUCCCAGUAAGCGCGAGUCAUAAGCUCGCGUUGAUUACGUCCCUGCCCUUUGUACACACCGCCCGUCGCUACUACCGAUUGAAUGU
rnacentral:rRNA from 1 species